rnacentral:rRNA from 1 species
AUUGAACGCUGGCGGAAUGCUUUACACAUGCAAGUCGAACGGCAGCACGGACUUCGGUCUGGUGGCGAGUGGCGAACGGGUGAGUAAUGUAUCGGAACGUGCCCAGUCGUGGGGGAUAACGUAGUGAAAAUUAUGCUAAUACCGCAUACGAUCUAUGGAUGAAAGCGGGGGAUCGCAAGACCUCGCGCGAUUGGAGCGGGCGAUAUCAGAUUAGGUAGUUGGUGGGGUAAAGGCCCACCAAGCCAACGAUCUGUAGCUGGUCUGAGAGGACGACCAGCCACACUGGAACUGAGACACGGUCCAGACUCCUACGGGAGGCAGCAGUGGGGAAUUUUGGACAAUGGGCGAAAGCCUGAUCCAGCCAUUCCGCGUGCAGGAUGAAGGCCCUCGGGUUGUAAACUGCUUUUGUACAGAACGAAAAGGUUUCUACUAAUACUAGGAGCUCAUGACGGUACUGUAAGAAUAAGCACCGGCUAACUACGUGCCAGCCGCCGCAGUAA